rnacentral:RNase_P_RNA from 1 species
GGAGUCGGCCGGGCAGUCGCGUCGCGUGUUUUCAUUUCGGUGGAGACGAGCGCCGAGGAAAGUCCGGGCUCCACAGGGCACGGUGCCAGGUAACGCCUGGGCGGCGCGAGCCGACGGACAGUGCAACAGAAAGAUACCGCCGAUGGCCCGCGGCUCUCACCAGCCGCGUGGAUCAGGUAAGGGUGAAAUGGUGCGGUAAGAGCGCACCGCGAGUCCGGUAACGGACCGGCACGGCAAACCCCACCGGGAGCAAGACCAAAUAGGGAGGCAAUGCCGCGGCCCGCGGUGCCUCCGGGUAGGUUGCUUGAGCGUAUCGGCGACGAUGCGCCUAGAGGAAUGACUGUCCACGACAGAACCCGGCUUAUAGGCCGACUCCGUUC